AUUGAACGCUGGCGGCAUGCUUUACACAUGCAAGUCGGACGGCAGCACAGAGAAGCUUGCUUCUUGGGUGGCGAGUGGCGUACGGGUGAGUAAUAUAUCGGAACGUACCGAGUAAUGGGGGAUAACUAAUCGAAAGAUUAGCUAAUACCGCAUAUUCUCUGAGGAGGAAAGCAGGGGACCUUCGGGCCUUGCGUUAUUCGAGCGGCCGAUAUCUGAUUAGCUAGUUGGUGGGGUAAAGGCCUACCAAGGCGACGAUCAGUAGCGGGUCUGAGAGGAUGAUCCGCCACACUGGGACUGAGACACGGCCCAGACUCCUACGGGAGGCAGCAGUGGGGAAUUUUGGACAAUGGGCGCAAGCCUGAUCCAGCCAUGCCGCGUGUCUGAAGAAGGCCUUCGGGUUGUAAAGGACUUUUGUCAGGGAAGAAAAGGCUGUUGCUAAUAUCAAUAGCUGAUGACGGUACCUGAAGAAUAAGCACCGGCUAACUACGUG
rnacentral:rRNA from 1 species